rnacentral:rRNA from 1 species
GAGGGGAGCUGUCCCUAGUACGAGAGGACCGGGAUGGACGAACCAAUAGUGUUCCAGUUGUCGCGCCAGCGGCAUAGCUGGGUAGCUACGUUCGGAAAGGAUAACCGCUGAAAGCAUCUAAGCGGGAAACCUACCCCGAGAUAAGAUAUCCCUUCUGCAUGGCAACAUGCAGAACUGAAGACCCCUUGUAGACGACAAGGUUGAUAGGCCGGGUGUGUAAGUACGGCAACGUAUUUAGCUUACCGGUACUAAUUGGUCGUGCGGCUUGGCCACAA